rnacentral:rRNA from 1 species
UACGUAGGGUGCAAGCGUUAAUCGGAAUUACUGGGCGUAAAGCGUGCGCAGGCGGUUGUGCAAGACAGAUGUGAAAUCCCCGGGCUUAACCUGGGAAUUGCAUUUGUGACUGCACGGCUAGAAUCUGGCAGAGGGGGGUAGAAUUCCACGUGUAGCAGUGAAAUGCGUAGAGAUGUGGAGGAACACCGAUGGCGAAGGCAGCCCCCUGGGCUAACACUGACGCUCAUGCACGAAAGCGUGGGGAGCAAACAGG